rnacentral:rRNA from 1 species
AUGAACGCUGGCGGCGUGCCUAAUACAUGCAAGUCGAGCGAACAGAUAAGGAGCUUGCUCCUUUGACGUUAGCGGCGGACGGGUGAGUAACACGUGGGUAACCUACCUAUAAGACUGGAAUAACUCCGGGAAACCGGGGCUAAUGCCGGAUAACAUUUAGAACCGCAUGGUUCUAAAGUGAAAGAUGGUUUUGCUAUCACUUAUAGAUGGACCCGCGCCGUAUUAGCUAGCUGGUAAGGUAACGGCUUACCAAGGCAACGAUACGUAGCCGACCUGAGAGGGUGAUCGGCCACACUGGAACUGAGACACGGUCCAGACUCCUACGGGAGGCAGCAGUAGGGAAUCUUCCGCAAUGGGCGAAAGCCUGACGGAGCAACGCCGCGUGAGUGAUGAAGGUCUUCGGAUCGUAAAACUCUGUUAUUAGGGAAGAACAAAUGUGUAAGUAACUGUGCACGUCUUGACGGUACCUAAUCAGAAAGCCACGGCUAACUACGUG